rnacentral:rRNA from 1 species
ACGGAGGGUGCAAGCGUUAAUCGGAAUUACUGGGCGUAAAGCGCACGUAGGCUGUAGAGUAAGUCAGGGGUGAAAUCCAACGGCUCAACCGUGGAACUGACUUUGAAACUGUACAACUUGAAUCCGGGAGAGGGUGGCGGAAUUCCAGGUGUAGGGGUGAAAUCCGUAGAUAUCUGGAGGAACAUCAGUGGCGAAGGCGGCCACCUGGACCGUUAUUGACUCUGAGGUGCGAAAGCGUGUGUAGCAAACAG